CAGCUCCGACGGGAGCAGGGGAGUGCUCCGGAGGUCCCCUAGCACCACGAACUUAGACCAAGAACUUCGGGGUUCCUUGCCUAUACUCGCUGCCAGACCCCCUCAGGUUUCUCCCACUGUUGUCCACUCCGCCCAGCGCGUGCAUGGUGGACCCCGAUUUGCUGCCCCCAGCGCCCAGCCCCCAGCAGGCCGGACUGUCGAAGGGCCCUGGCAGUUCGCGGAAGUCCGGCGUUCGCCCCAACGCCGGUACUGCCGCCCGCAAAGCCACUCUGGGGACCGCUCCCAAUACCAAGGAAGCUAGCUAUUGAGGGCCAGGUCAGUCCGCAACUCAGCGCCCGGAGCGAGGCCAGUGACAAGGGUGCCCCUGUACAGAGUCUUCAAUCCCCAGACGGCAACUCGAAGCCCAUCUGAGUAGGCCAGCAGCCGGCUCCCUCCCUCUAACCCUGCCCUCCGUCUACCUCCACCUGGCCUACCUGUACAUUUGGGGCAGCGCCUACCUGGAGAUUGACUUUUUCCCCGGGUACUCCGUACUAAGUCACCAGCGGCCAAGCCCGGCGCAAGGAAGAGGGCGAGAGGGGCCCUGCGGAGCGGGCUACUGAACACGCAAGUAGCAGUGGGACUAUGACCUCCAGAUGACCCUGAUACUCACCUUGUAUUGCGUGGCGACGCACAAAUAAUGAGAAGCGAAGAGACGCACAAGUGGUAGGAGCAGGUGGCGCAAGCCCGGCACCAGGUGUUGGGCUUCAAGGUGCUGGAAGCAGCACAGCAGCUUCCACACAGAUCGAGGGCUUGCCGCCUUACACGGUGAAAUGCUAGCCCAGACCCAGACAUCUGGAAAUCCACACCUUCGUUUCACAAUCUACAAUCUACCGCUGUGCUGGGAUUCACCUGCGUCAGAAUAAACCAGGUAAAUCCAGGAAAAGUUGGAUAUGGGGCCUGGCUUUCAAAUAUGGAAUUCUAAAUGAGGACAGUAUGCCUCUUCUCAGAAUCAGCAUUUUGGAAUGAAUAGGAACCUAGGAAGCCAUAGGUUAAAAAUGAAGAGAAAAUCAUGAAGAUAGUUGUGCUAUGACCUCCAAGUAGGUA